rnacentral:rRNA from 1 species
UGUAUGGUUCUUAGAUCGUACCCACGUUACUUGGAUAACUGUGGUAAUUCUAGAGCUAAUACAUGCCGACAGAGUUCCGACCAACUGUACAGAUGUGCGUCGGCCUCGGUCGUCGUCGCUGUACGGUUCGGAAGGAACGCUUUUAUUAGAUCAAAACCGGCCAGACGGUGGUUUCGCGUUCGCGCGCGUCUCCAUUCGUAAGCGGCCCGCGCAAAGACUUGGUGACUCUGAAUAACUUCGAGCUGAUCGCACGGUCCUAGUACCGGCGACGUAUCUUUCAAAUGUCUGCCUUAUCAACUGUCGACGGUAGGUUCGACGCCUACCGUGGUGGUAACGGGUAACGGGGAAUCAGGGUUCGAUUCCGGAGAGGGAGCCUGAGAAACGGCUACCACAUCCAAGGAAGGCAGCAGGCGCGCAAAUUACCCACUCCCAGCUCGGGGAGGUAGUGACGAAAAAUAACGAUACGGGACUCAUUCGAGGCCCCGUAAUCGGUGGAUUUACUUUAAA